UCUCGUAGAAAGGCAACAGUCAAAUGAGACUUGUUGGUCUUAUUAUUUUCUUCUGAAUUCAGCUACAUAUCCAAGUUAGCUUUGUACCAUCUGUUGAAUUAUUCAUUAUUUAUUCUGUUUGAAUAUUGCAAGCAUGAAAUUUCGAAUCGGCCAAAAUUAUUUGUAUAAUUAAUAAGCACGCACAUAUAUAUUUUUGGAACUUCGAUUCUAACUUUCGUUCAAAUGACGCACUCAAUAUGAAUCAUAUUUACGAGUUAUAUGCAAUAUGGUGUCAAUUUUGAGCUAUUCAUUCAUACAUGGAACGAAAUGGAAAAGGGAAUUAAAAUUUAGAUUGGGUCAGCAAGAGCAAAAUGGGUAGGGGGAAGUUAAUUAAACCUGUUCGCUCUUGGCGCCUCGUUGUGUGCCAUAAAUCGCUAUUAAUUAUAUGCGACAAGAAUGAUCAAAUGGUGAUUCAAUAGAUUGCCAUGAUGUCAGCUUUUUACAACAACAGAUCGUACAAAGAGGCAAAUAGUACUCGUAACGCUGUUGGUUUUUAUUUUGAUUGCAUGAUAAGAUCCAAAAUUAAAAUACUACUUGGUGAAUUAACAUUCAAUGGACCUUGGAUCGAGGCUAUUUCCAAUAUCCAAUUGACAGCAUACCUCAAAAAAGUCUUAAAUACUGUAAAUCGGCGUAUAAGCUACUAAUUGACCUGUUUUAUUGAUUGCUGAUCAACAAACAGCCCGAAUCAUAACACUUACCUUAUACCUAAGGACGAGGCUUUGCGAAAUCCACCUUCACGUUCGGAAAAUACGUGGAGUGCUUUUGUAUAAUAAUAUUUUCAUAUUGAACCGUUUGGCUAAAACUCAUUAUAGAUAGUUGUUUUAACAAAAUCAGAAAAUUUAACUGAAUUAAAUGUUGAAUGUAGAUGCUGAA